GAAGAAAGCGGGAGGAGGGAUGAACACAUGCAAGUCGAACGGAAAGGCCCUGCUUUUGUGGGGAGCUCGAAUGGCGAACGUAUGAGUAACACAAGAGUACCCUGCCUUUGGCUUUGGCAUCGCUUCCGGGAACUGGGGCUAAUACCGGCUAGGCGCUCCUGCUGCACUGUGGGGGAUGGAAAGUUUCUGCGGUUGGGGAUGGACUCGCGGCUUAUCAGCUUGUUGGUGGGGUAAUGGCUUACCAAGGCUUUGACGGGUAGCCGGCCUGAGAGGGUGACCGGCCACAUUGGGACUGAGAUACGGCCCAGACUCCUACGGGAGGCAGCAGUGGGGAAUAUUGCACAAUGGGCGGAAGCCUGAUGCAGCAACGCCGCGUGCGGGAUGACGGCCUUCGGGUUGUAAACCGCUUUCGGCAGGGACGAAGCGUGAGUGACGGUAAUGGGUAAAGAAGCACCGGCUAACUACGUG
rnacentral:rRNA from 1 species